rnacentral:rRNA from 1 species
CCUACGGGUGGCAGCAGUGGGGAAUCUUGGGCAAUGGAGGAAACUCUGACCCAGCAACGCCGCGUGAAUGAUGAAGGUCCUCGGAUUGGUAAGUCCCUUUCUUAGGGAAGCAGAAAGUGACGGUACUUUAGGAAUAAGCCUCGGCUAACUACGUGCCAGCAGCCGCGGUAAUACGUAGGAGGCGUGCGUUGUUCGGAAUGAUUGGGCGUAAAGGGUGCGUAGGUGGUUGGGUAAGUUAGUAGGGUAACGCGAAGGCUCAACCUUGGAACUGCUACUAAUACUGUUGGACUUGAGUGCAGGAGGGGCAACCGGAAUUCCUGGUGUAGCAGUGAAAUGCGUAGAUAUCAGGAGGAACACCAGUGGCGAAGGCGGGUUGCUGGACUUUAACUGACGCUGAGGCACGAAAGCGUGGGGAGCGAACAGGAUUAGAUACCCUAGUAGUC